CCUACGGGACGCAGCAGUGGGGAAUAUUGGACAAUGGGCGAAAGCCUGAUCCAGCCAUGCCGCGUGUGUGAAGAAGGCCUUCGGGUUGUAAAGCACUUUCAGUGGGGAAGAAAGCCUUGGGGCUAAUACCCUCGAGGAAGGACAUCACCCACAGAAGAAGCACCGGCUAACUCCGUGCCAGCAGCCGCGGUAAUACGGAGGGUGCGAGCGUUAAUCGGAAUUACUGGGCGUAAAGCGCGCGUAGGCGGUCUGAUAAGCCGGUUGUGAAAGCCCCGGGCUCAACCUGGGAACGGCAUCCGGAACUGUCAGGCUAGAGUGCAGGAGAGGAAGGUAGAAUUCCCGGUGUAGCGGUGAAAUGCGUAGAGAUCGGGAGGAAUACCAGUGGCGAAGGCGGCCUUCUGGACUGACACUGACGCUGAGGUGCGAAAGCGUGGGUAGCAAACAGGAUUAGAUACCCCUGUAGUC
rnacentral:rRNA from 1 species